GUCCCUUUUCCCUCUUACCCUUCGUCCUUUUUUUUCUACUUCCUCCCUCCUUUUCUCUUUCCACUUCCUUUCUCCCCUCCCCCUCCUACUCUCUUCUUCUUUCCUCUCCCACCUCCUCCUUUUUCCCAUUUCCCUUCCCUCUCUUCCUCCCCCUUCCUUCUUCUUGAUACACACCUCUACCCACUUAUCCACCUUCCAACCCUUAACCCUGGAGGAGGACACGUGGGAGAUUUGGCCCCAGAAACUGAGGCAAAGCGCUGGAAAAGGACUCCGUUACAGAGCAGUUAUCGAAGAGCCUGGCACUUUUGAUUGUGUGUUGGAUAUUCUCCAUGAUGGUAACAACUACUUUUGGCAGGCAAGAAUCUCCCUGUUUUAUGCUUCACUUGAUGUCGAUGAUGAAAAGAUCAUCAGAUAAAGUUAUCUUUUUCUUAAAGUUGAUCAAAGAAUCUAGUAUGAUCUUAUCAUGAAUACAAACAAUACCGACAUUAUAAGAGAUUUUAAGAGUGUAUUUUGUUCUAGUCAAUGAAAUGCUUUAAAAACAAUAAUAAAAAACCAAUAAACAUAGUGAUAUGUAUUUUC
rnacentral:lncRNA from 1 species